UGUGCGGGUCCACAAAGUUCAAGGAGUGGUUGACUCUUAAAAGAAGAAAUCCCUCCUCAUUUAGGCAAUCGUAUGCCUUCCAACAGUCGGAAAUGAUGGUAGUGCCGGGCUCUAUAUAAUCCCUUAUCACUGUUAAAAGUGUCGCUUUGUCCCUACUUUCUACAGGAAGUCAGGAACAGCAAUUGAGACAAGAACUUGGGAGAAAAUCCACAUAAAUUGAUGUCAAAGUAGAUGGUAAUUGAGAAACUGCACCAGAAGUUGAAGGUUCGCACGCCUCCAUGGCUCUCAAAAGACUGAAAAAUUAGCAAUGGAAAUUGUGUGAAAAGUGUCGAAAAGUGUUAGUUUCCCAGUAAAACUGACACCUGAUUAGGGUAUUCAAGUUACGUGAUUCUAGUUUUGUUAAAAUGCCAGUCCCAAGUAAAAUGUGGACCAUCAUCAUUGGUUAAUAACUAUGACGUUUGGGUGACGUCUUGCUACGUAGAAUAAUAAUGACAAUCUAUGUUUUUAACGCACAAACGAACAAACGAGAGCUCAGUCUGAAGAGGAAUUUGAGAGAGCUAUGAAGCCUAGGGACUUGGUUUUUUCAGAUUUUGGAUUCAAGUUCAUUAGUUAUUUAUUUCUGGGAAGGUCUACAUUUCUACAUGAAUCUGUGGUGAACUGCAAUCAAUUUGACUUGUCGCUGUUUAUCCUAAUGUCCGCGGCCAUCAACUGAGGGACGAAAGUAUGAAGUUUCAUAAAAGAUAUCUGCCUUGUUUAAGAGUAGGACAAACUCUGCCACAACGCAUUGUAACUUGGAUGGUUAUUCUCUUGGCCAAGAAUGACACUAAGACCUUUUCAGCACAAAUUCAACCAAGUUCGUAGUAAGUUUUUAAAAUAUAAGUGUAA